GAGUUUGAUCAUGGCUCAGGAUUAACGCUGGCGGCAUGCCUAAUACAUGCAAGUCGAACGGAGUAGCAAUACUUAGUGGCGAACGGGUGAGUAACACGUAUCUAAUCUACCAUUUAGUGGGGAAUAACUGUUGGAAACGACAGCUAAUACCGCAUAAUAUUGCUGGAUAAUUUCCAGUAAUGAAAGGAGCUUUCAAGCUCCGCUGAUUGAUGAGGAUGCGGCGCAUUAGCUAGUUGGUAGGGUAAUGGCCUACCAAGGCAAUGAUGCGUAGCCGAUCUGAGAGGAUGAACGGCCACAUUGGGACUGAGACACGGCCCAAACUUCUACGGAAGGCAGCAGUAGGGAAUUUUUCACAAUGGGCGAAAGCCUGAUGGAGCAAUGCCGCGUGACUGAUGAAGGUCUUCGGAUUGUAAAGGUCUGUUGUAAGGGAAGAAAUGGUAAAACAGGAAAUGGUUUUAUCUAUGACGGUACCUUACCAGAAAGCCACGGCUAACUAUGUGCCAGCAGCCGCGGUAAUACAUAGGUGGCAAGCGUUAUCCGGAUUUAUUGGGCGUAAAGGGUGCGUAGACGGUUUUGCAAGUCUGAGGUUAAAUUUAGGAGCUCAACUCCUAAUCGCCUUGGAAACUACAAGACUAGAGUAUAGGAGAGGUUAGUGGGAAUUCCAUGUGUAGCGGUGGAAAUGUGUAGAUAUAUGGGAGGAAACACCA
rnacentral:rRNA from 1 species